UUUACAACUCCCAAACCCAAUGUGAACGUUACCAAACUGUUGCCUCGGCGGGAUCUCUGCCCCGGGUGCGUCGCAGCCCCGGACCAAGGCGCCCGCCGGAGGACCAACCAAAACUCUUUUUGUAUACCCCCUCGCGGGUUUUUUAUAAUCUGAGCCUUCUCGGCGCCUCUCGUAGGCGUUUCGAAAAUGAAUCAAAACUUUCAACAACGGAUCUCUUGGUUCUGGCAUCGAUGAAGAACGCAGCGAAAUGCGAUAAGUAAUGUGAAUUGCAGAAUUCAGUGAAUCAUCGAAUCUUUGAACGCACAUUGCGCCCGCCAGUAUUCUGGCGGGCAUGCCUGUCCGAGCGUCAUUUCAACCCUCGAACCCCUCCGGGGGGUCGGCGUUGGGGAUCGGCCCUCCCUUAGCGGGUGGCCGUCUCCGAAAUACAGUGGCGGUCUCGCCGCAGCCUCUCCUGCGCAGUAGUUUGCACACUCGCAUCGGGAGCGCGGCGCGUCCACAGCCGUUAAACACCCAACUUCUGAAAUGUUGACCUCGGAUCAGGUAGGAAUACCCGCUGAACUUAAGCAUAUCAAUAAGCGGAGGGAAAAAAAAC
rnacentral:rRNA from 1 species